AAAGCGCAGUGGAUAGCGCGUUGGAUUUCUAAUCCAAAGGACGGGGGUUUCGAUUCCCACCUGGAAUG